UACGAAGGGGGCUAGCGUUGCUCGGAAUUACUGGGCGUAAAGGGCGCGUAGGCGGAUAGUUUAGUCAGAGGUGAAAGCCCAGGGCUCAACCUUGGAACUGCCUUUGAUACUGGCUAUCUUGAGUUCGGGAGAGGUGAGUGGAACUGCGAGUGUAGAGGUGAAAUUCGUAGAUAUUCGGAAGAACACCAGUGGCGAAGGCGACUCACUGGACAUGUAUUGACGCUGAGGUGCGAAAGCGUGGGGGAGCAAACAGG
rnacentral:rRNA from 1 species